GAUGAAGAACGUAGCGAAAUGCGAUAAGUAAUGUGAAUUGCAGAAUUCAGUGAAUCAUCGAAUCUUUGAACACACAUUGCGCCCGCCAGCACUCUGGCGGGCAUGCCUGUCCGAGCGUCAUUUCAACCCUCAGGGCCCCUUCGGGGGACCUGGCGUUGGGGAUCGGCCCGCCCCCGUGCGGCGCCGUCCCCGAAAUAUAGUGGCGGUCUCGCUGCAGCCUCCCCUGCGUAGUAGCACACCUCGCACUGGAGAGCGGCGCGGCCACGCCGUGAAACCCCCAACUUCUGAAUGUUGACCUCGGAUCAGGUAGGAAUACCCGCUGAACUUAAGCAUAUCAAUAAGCGGAGGA
rnacentral:misc_RNA from 1 species